rnacentral:rRNA from 1 species
UACGUAGGGCGCGAGCGUUAUCCGGAAUUAUUGGGCGUAAAGAGCUCGUAGGCGGUUUGUCGCGUCUGCUGUGAAAACUGGAGGCUCAACCUCCAGCCUGCAGUGGGUACGGGCAGACUAGAGUGCGGUAGGGGUGACUGGAAUUCCUGGUGUAGCGGUGGAAUGCGCAGAUAUCAGGAGGAACACCGAUGGCGAAGGCAGGUCACUGGGCCGCAACUGACGCUGAGGAGCGAAAGCGUGGGGAGCGAACAGG